AUGAACGCUGGCGGCGUGCCUAAUACAUGCAAGUCGAGCGAACAGAUGAGGAGCUUGCUCCUCUGACGUUAGCGGCGGACGGGUGAGUAACACGUGGAUAACCUACCUAUAAUACUGGGAUAACUUCGGGAAACCGGAGCUAAUACCGGAUAAUAUAUUUAACCGCAUGGUUCAAUAGUGAAAGACGGUUUUGCUGUCACUUAUAGAUGGAUCCGCGCCGCAUUAGCUAGUUGGUAAGGUAACGGCUUACCAAGGCAACGAUGCGUAGCCGACCUGAGAGGGUGAUCGGCCACACUGGAACUGAGACACGGUCCAGACUCCUACGGGAGGCAGCAGUAGGGAAUCUUCCGAAAUGGGCGAAAGCCUGACGGAGCAACGCCGCGUGAUUGAUGAAGGUCUUCGGAUCGUAAAACUCUGUUAUUAGGGAAGAACAAAUGUGUAAGUAACUAUGCACGUCUUGACGGUACCUAAUCAGAAAGCCACGGCUAACUACGUG
rnacentral:rRNA from 1 species